UAUAAGCUGGAGCUUGAUAUCGUAUGCAAAGUCAGACGCCAAGGAGUUGAUAUUGUAUGCAAGGUCAAACCCCAAAUGAAUAUGAUGGGUGUGUGAUUGGACAAGGUACGUAGAGUAAUGUGUACAAGGCUAAGGACACAAUGAGAGGGAAAAUUGUUGCAAAGACAUGUAUCCCAAUCCGAAAACUAGCAGCUUCCAUUGGGUAUUUUGCUUAGCCUUGUGAAUACUAGCAGCCCGAGAAUGUGAAUACUUAAGACAUGAGAGGGAAAAUUGUUGCAUUGAAAAAGAUGGAAUUUUAACAACACGUGAAGGACCGGGUUGCUUAUCGAAGAAAGACAGCACCAAGCGAUGGAUAGUUUCUAUAAAAGGUCAAUAAUAUGAGUUUCACCGGAACCUGGUCCAUUGAAGGCAAUAGCCAAAUCUUAAAUGAGAGCAGGGAAAGCAACCCAAGUUCUCAACAGGUGCUAUUAGUUAUUUAUUGGUGCUAUUAGUUAUUUAUUUCUUCCAAAGAUGAUAGCCAAAAGAAUGUAUUGUGAACAGCUCAAACUUAAGGAAGUUACUAGAGAUAGAUUAAAAAUGCAAAGAUAAGGUAUGUGCAUGAAAUCGCCUAUUUUAAGUUGCAGAGUCAAAACUCAAAAGCCGA